rnacentral:rRNA from 1 species
UACGUAGGGUCCGAGCGUUGUCCGGAAUUACUGGGCGUAAAGAGCUCGUAGGUGGUUUGUCGCGUUGUUCGUGAAAACUCACAGCUUAACUGUGGGCGUGCGGGCGAUACGGGCAGACUAGAGUACUGCAGGGGAGACUGGAAUUCCUGGUGUAGCGGUGGAAUGCGCAGAUAUCAGGAGGAACACCAGUGGCGAAGGCGGUGCUCUGGGCCGGAACUGACGCUGAGGAGCGAAAGCGUGGGGAGCAAACAGG